rnacentral:rRNA from 1 species
AACGUUAGCGGCCAGGUUUAACACAGCAAGUUGAAGGGGCCAGCAUUUCAACAAUGGAAGAGGGCGACGGCGGAAGGGUGCGUAACGGCUGAGCAACAUCCCCUAUACAGGGAGAUACACCAGGGAAACUUGUUUUAAUAUCCCAUAGCAUUCAUUGAAGGCAUUUUUAAUGAAUUAAAGCUUCGGUGGUAUAGGACUGGCUCGCGUGACAUUAGCCAGAUGGUGAGGUAACGGCUCACCAUAGCAAUGAUGUCUAGGGGUUUUGAGAGGAAGGCCCCCCACACUGGGACUGAGACACGGCCCAGACCCCUACGGGAGGCAGCAGUGAGGAAUAUUGGACAAUGGAUGGAAAUCUGAUCCAGCCAUGCCGCGUGCAGGAAGACGGCCUUAUGGGUUGUAAACUGCUUUUAUACGGGAGCAAUAAGGGUUACGAGUAAUCCGAUGAGAGUACUGUAUGAAUAAGGAUCGGCUAACUCCGUGCCAGCAGCCGCGGUAAUACGGAGGAUCCGAGCGUUAUCCGGAAUUAUUGGGUUUAAAGGGUGCGUAGGCGGCCAUUUAAGUCAGCGGUGAAAUUUUGCAGCUUAACUGUAACAGUGCCGUUGAUACUGUUUGGCUAGGAUUUGGUUGUAGUGUGCGGAAUGUGUGGUGUAGCGGUGAAAUGCUUAGAUAUCACACAGAACACCGAUUGCGAAGGCAGCACACUAAGUCAUUAUUGACGCUGAGGCACGAAAGUGUGGGGAUCAAACAGGAUUAGAUACCCUGGUAGUCCACACUGUAAACGAUGAUAACUCGCUGUCGGCGAUACACAGUCGGGGCCAAGCGAAAGC